AUUAUUACCAUAAAAAACUUUACCUUCUCAUAUUGAGAAACAGUUUUAGGAUAAGAAAAAUACCAAAUAUUUAUACACGGGGAACAUUUUCUUGUACAUAUGAUCUCAGUUAAAAGAUCGAAAUGCUAAAUCUGCAAAGAGCUCAUCACUGGUGUAGCUGCCACCCAAGGCUUAAUCAGUAGAUUCUUUUCUUGCUACUGCAGUUCCUUAGUUCCAAGGUGAAACUAUGGUUGGUGAAGGUUCCAUAUGGGUUUACAUCCAUCAAAUCAUAUGGUUAAUGAUAUAUUUUCACUGUAAGGCAUGCACUUCCCGCAUGAAAUGCCUUCAGGAAUCACUUCCCAAGGGGGAGGCCCCUAUAUAGCCCAUUUGAUUUCUUAAUUACUUAGAAGAUGCAGAUGGAGCAACCAAAGCCACUGUGAAGGAGAAGAGAUAAUAGUCUCAUAUUUGUCAAAGAAGGGAGCCAUAUAUGCACCUCUUCUUGUAAUAAUGUCGCAUGGAUUACAUUUUGACCGCUUCCAAAGGGGUUUUUGCAUAUGCCAUUAUUAUGUUUAUUAUUAGUGUUCAAUAUGUUGGACCCUUUCUCAUAAAUCAUUUGGGUGAGAGAAGACUACUGCCUUUACUGCA